ACAGGACAACAGGAUAUCCAAGAGGAACCCCAGUGAGAGCCCAUUGUUGGUGUGUCUGAAGCCAGAAGCCAGAGGCUUCUAGACAGACCAAUGGCUUGUGGCAAUGAACACUUCCAAGAAGAGAUGAACGGACUAAAUGGCAAACCACAGCUUCCAUGAUUUCAACAAAAGUCCAACAGCCCCUGCUCUAUCCAAGAACACGUUGUUUUGCAGCAGCCUUCCUAGUAAGCUAAAGAGGGCAUUGGCUCACAGGGACCUGGAGAUCCAGCUGGAUGGAAGCGUCACCCCAGCCCCAGAAACACAUUCUUAAAGCAUGCCUGCACAGUCCAUAAGUAGAUUCUUGCUGCAAGAGCCAGCCAAUAGAUGACACAGAACAACUGGAAAGAUGCAUCGCUCUCACUGCUUCCCAGACCCCAGGUGUAGAGACCCUGGACCUUCUACUUAUGUGCAUAUAUCUGGUAUGAAUAGAUCUCAUUCAGAUUAUUACUAUUUGGUGACCUUUUCCAGCUGAGCAGUGUUGACCUCAAAGGAAGAUGUAGAGCUGCUGCCUUUAGACGACCCUGGAGAACAGUCCUGACAUGAUUUAACCCUAAGUAAUGACUUAGGUGAACAUUUGUGCUGUCCUUGACUCCGAUACUAUUGACUCCAGAAUAAGUGUCAGCUCUGUGUGGCAGCUACGAGGACAGUAACCCCUCGCCCACCUGCCAGCUCCUGCCAGCCCAGACUCAGAACCCUGAGUUUCUGCGUAUCUUUCUUAGCCCUGGGAAGAAAUGCACAAGACUUCAGACAUGGGACGUAUGACCCAUAUGACAGCCAUACCAUGAUCCUGCCACAGGCGCUCGCAACAGAAAACAGGGCAUGGAGAUCUUCAGUUCUCCCUCCUGAAUGCCAGGAAGGAAAGUGGUCAGAAGCCUUCCCAGUCCAAACUGGAAAAGUUACAAGCAACAGUCUGUACUUUGGCACUGACUAACCUCCAAUUUUCUUUUUCCCCUUGUGCUGAGUCAGUCUCCAAUGGGCCAUCCGUUUUAAGAAUUUAAGUGCAGGAAGAGGGAUGGGUUUAGCAUCCAAGCUUUGACAGCCUGGCACUGUGACCUGCUCGGGGCUGGCUGGGGCACCCAGCCAGCAGUCAUGUCCUUCGAUUCUCACUCUCCUGUUUCAGGGACACCUCAUGCAGACGGGCUGUGCCUGUGCCUGGAGUCCUCUGAGGUCCAGUCACAUCCUGGUGGACUCUCUAGGGUAUGAGCUACCACAGGCAUGUAUCCACUAGCAGAGGAUCUAAGUCCGUACUCUUUUAAUGCCCAGCUAUAUGAGUACUAGCCUGGGUUUCCUUCAGAAGAUUAAAGAGGACGAAAUCAAAUUGCACAUAUCAUUUAAUAAGGAAUGCACACACCAACAUAUUGAGUUCUACAUACAGGCCACUAGGCCCAAGUAUGAAGUUGUUCCUCUUAUGUCAUAACCAUAAUCAUAAGACAAUCCAUGUGUUUAAAUCUUGCUUCAUCUUUCUCCGAAGCACUCUCAAGAGAUUGAUAUGUUUGCCUAUUUCAUACAUAAAGGUUUUUUUUUUGUCAAGAGUCAUGUGGGUUGCCAAGGAAGGUGGCUAUCAGUCCACUUUGUGUGGCUGUCACAAAAUACACAAAGUAGAGAAACAUAAAGAGGUUUAUUUGACUUACAUUAGGGAGACUGGAGGAUCCCAAUAGCACAGUGAAGUACCCUGGCAAAGGUCCUCUAACUUUAUCACAACAUGGGAGAGCAGCAUGUAGCAGAAAAGCUACAUUCAGAAGGACUAGCUGGGGGCAACUUUGAUCUGCAAAUUCACUCUUGUGGUACUUGGUUCACUUCUUCAGGGUGCCAUUACCCUGUCCAUGAAAAUAGAGCUACUACGACCAAAUUAUCUUUCCCUAAGCCCCACCCCUCAAAGGUUUCACCACACUAACACCACCACCCUUGGGGUCAAGCUUUGAGAGGGUGAACUUCCAAGGUACAGUCCACAGCCACAUCAUACAGGGAUGAGACUUGAACUCAGGUGAGCAGACUCCAAAGGCCACCAUUACUACACCAGUAAGCAAGCAGCCAUUGACUUACUGUUCAUCACCAAGACUUGGCAAGCCUCUCCUUUCCAACCUCACACCACGUAUAGGCAUCUCUCAUACUAUUAUAAGUCUGUUAAGGAUCUGGGCAAUACAAGUUCCCUCCACGGCCAGACAAGGUGACUUCCUAUAGGAGCCUAAGAUCCCAAAAGGCAACCAUCUUUGUUCCAGUGGCAAACGUGAAUCAAGUUCUCCCCUCCUCUCCCGGCCUGGGUUAUCCUUAGUCUUUUGCUGGUACAACUUAAUGUCUAAUUUCCAGGCAAAUCUUGAGUGAGCAUUACAAAGCUUCCUUUAAAACAGUGGCUAAAAGAUGAAAACGUUGGUGUGAACCUAAAAUGAAGGCUUCGUAGCUAGAUCUGCUACACUCAAACCCAUUACAUUGAAAUCCUCAUAAAAUUCACACUCUUCAGUCCCCAGAGGUGACAGGUUUAUUCGGGAGGAGAUGAGCAAAACCAUGACUUCAUGGGUCAUGGUGCCAAAAGCUUAGCUCAAUAUUUCUCUAACAUUUUUCUUUCACAACCUCUUCAUAUUCUGAAAAAUUACUAGAGUCCAAGGAACUAUUGUUUAUCUUGAGUUAUAACUAUCAAUAUUUACAGUUUUAGAAAUGAAGGCUUAAAAAUUUAAAAAUAUUUAUACAUUAGUCCAUUAAAAACAAUAAAGAUAAUGCAUGGUAAUACAAAUCUUUUAAGGAAAUAAUUAUAUUUUCCAAAACCAAAAUAUUUAGUCAGAAGAACAUUGCUUUGUGUUUUUACAAAUCUCUUUAAUUUCCAAUUUAACAGAAAACAGCUGGAUUCUCCUGUUUCUGCAUCCAAUUGCUAAUGAUGGCAAAUAUCACGGAGAUCCCUGGGGACCUCGGGGUGAGAGUGAGAUAGGCAAAAGAUAUGAUCAUAGUUUCAAUCCGAUGGGUCCCUCAAAAAGAGGGCCUCAGAGACAUGGGGCUCCUGGACCACCCUUUGGGGACCCCCACCUCAAACAUUCUGAUUUUCUUGUGAUGUAAAAAGUUGCCAGGCACAAUGGUGAUGCGGGAGAAUUGCUACAUAUGGUGCCCACGUGGAUAACAGAAUCCACAGAAAGCCUGUGAAAGUUUGGAAAAGAUAGA